rnacentral:rRNA from 1 species
UGGUCCUCCCUUUGGGAGGCACUGGUUCGGCUGGGGCUCACCUUCUGGCGAGACGGUAUGCUCUUCACUGGGUGUGCCGAGGAGCCAGGACUUUUACUUUGAAAAAAUUAGAGUGUUUAAAGCAGGCAUUUGCUUGAAUACAUUAGCAUGGAAUAAUAGAAUAGGACCUCGGUUCUAUUUUGUUGGUUUCUAGGACCGAAGUAAUGAUUAAUAGGGAUAGUUGGGGGCAUUAGUAUUUAGUAGCUAGAGGUGAAAUUCUUGGAUUUAUGAAAGACUAACUUCUGCGAAAGCAUUUGCCAAGGAUGUUUUCAUUAAUCAAGAACGAAAGUUAGGGGAUCGAAGACGAUCAGAUACCGUCGUAGUCUUAACCAUAAACUAUGCCGACUAGGGAUCAGACGACGUUAAUUUACUGACUCGUUUGGCACCUUAUGAGAAAUCAAAGUUUUUGGGUUCCGGGGGGAGUAUGGUCGCAAGGCUGAAACUUAAAGGAAUUGACGGAAGGGCACCACCAGGAGUGGAGCCUGCGGCUUAAUUUGACUCAACACGGGGAAACUCACCAGGUCCAGACAUAGUAAGGAUUGACAGAUUGAGAGCUCUUUCUUGAUUCUAUGGGUGGUGGUGCAUGGCCGUUCUUAGUUGGUGGAGUGAUUUGUCUGCUUAAUUGCGUUAACGAACGAGACCUUAACCUGCUAAAUAGUUAUGCCAACUUUGGUUGGUAGUCAACUUCUUAGAGGGACUGUCAGCGAUUAGCUGACGGAAGUUUGAGGCAAUAACAGGUCUGUUAUGCCCUUAGAUGUCC